GAUGAACGCUGGCGGCGUGCCUAAUACAUGCAAGUCGAGCGAACAGACGAGGAGCUUGCUCCUCUGACGUUAGCGGCGGACGGGUGAGUAACACGUGGAUAACCUACCUAUAAGACUGGGAUAACUUCGGGAAACCGGAGAUAAUACCGGAUCAUAUAUUGAACCGCAUGGUUCAAUAGUGAAAGACGGUUUUGCUGUCACUUAUAGAUGGAUCCGCGCCGCAUUAGCUAGUUGGUAAGGUAACGGCUUACCAAGGCAACGAUGCGUAGCCGACCUGAGAGGGUGAUCGGCCACACUGGAACUGAGACACGGUCCAGACUCCUACGGGAGGCAGCAGUAGGGAAUCUUCCGCAAUGGGCGAAAGCUUGACGGAGCAACGCCGCGUGAGUGAUGAAGGUCUUCGGAUCGUAAAACUCUGUUAUUAGGGAAGAACAAAUGUGUAAGUAACUAUGCACGUCUUGACGGUACCUAAUCAGAAAGCCACGGCUAACUACGUG
rnacentral:rRNA from 1 species